UGGUCUGGUUGGAACCUUUUCCUAAUAAACUGUUAUAUUUCACAUUUGCAAUUGAAUCCUCCUUUUGUACCCAUGACAGUGUGAUUCAC